rnacentral:rRNA from 1 species
ACCAGACUCCUACGGGAGGCAGCAGUGGGGAAUAUUGCACAAUGGGGGGAACCCUGAUGCAGCGACGCCGCGUGGGUGAAGGAGCACCUCGGUGCGUAAAGCCCUAUCGGCAGGGAAGAAACAGACGGUACCUGACUAAGAAGCCCCGGCUAACUACGUGCCAGCAGCCGCGGUAAUACGUAGGGGGCAAGCGUUAUCCGGAUUCACUGGGUGUAAAGGGAGCGUAGACGGCGACGCAAGUCUGGAGUGGAAGCCCGGGGCCCAACCCCGGGACUGCUCUUGGAACUGCGCGGCUGGAGUGCAGGAGGGGCAGGCGGAAUUCCUGGUGUAGCGGUGAAAUGCGUAGAUAUCAGGAGGAACACCGGUGGCGAAGGCGGCCUGCUGGGCUGCGACUGACGUUGAGGCCCGAAAGCGUGGGGAGCAAACAGGAUUAGAUACCCCGGUAAC